UACGUAGGUCCCGAGCGUUAUCCGGCUUUAUUGGGCGUAAAGCGAGCGCAGGGGGUUAGAUAAGUCUGAAAUGAAAGGCUGUGGCUUAACCAUAGUAUGCUUUGGAAACUGUUUAACUUGAGUGCAGAAGGGGAGAGUGGAAUUCCAUGUGUAGCGGUGAAAUGCGUAGAUAUGUGGAGGAACACCGGUGGCGAAAGCGGCUCUCUGGUCUGUAACUGACGCUGAGGCUCGUAAGCGUGGGGAGCAAACAGG
rnacentral:rRNA from 1 species